CCUACGGGUGGCAGCAGUGAGGAAUAUUGGUCAAUGGACGAGAGUCUGAACCAGCCAAGUAGCGUGAAGGAUGACUGCUCUAUGGGUUGUAAACUUCUUUUAUAUGGGAAUAAAAUGGUCCACGUGUGGGAUUUUGUAUGUACCAUAUGAAUAAGGAUCGGCUAACUCCGUGCCAGCAGCCGCGGUAAUACGGAGGAUCCGAGCGUUAUCCGUAUUUAUUGUGUUUAAAGGGAGGGUAGGUGGGUUGUUCAGUCAGUUGUGAAAGUUUGCGGCUCAACCGUGGAAUUGCAGUUGAUACUGGCAGUCUUGAGGACAGUAGAGGUGGGCGGAAUGCGUGGUGUAGCGGUGAAAUGCUUAGAUAUCACGAAGAACUCCGAUUGCGAAGGCAGCUCACUGGACUUCAACUGACGCUGAGGCUCGAAAGUGUGGGUAUCAAACAGGAUUAGAUACCCGGGUAGUC
rnacentral:rRNA from 1 species